rnacentral:lncRNA from 1 species
UGGAGAGGUUGUCCUUUUCUGGCAUCAGCGUUGCGGCUCGAGGCAAAGCUGGUCCUGUGCCUGCUGUCCAUUGCCGCUAAGGCCUGCUGCUGCCAUUCAGGCGUGUCUCUCUCUCUCUCUCUCUUUCAUGCCGCUCUCUCCACCCCAUCUUGGGACGGCCAGCUCUAAGAAUUCCUGCUACGACACUGAAUUCAACCAGGAGGUGAUGCCACACUCAAUCAGAAACUAUGCUACUGCUGAAGAGGUAUAUUGAGCCCUGCCUGGUUAACCUCCAGUGAGGUUAUUAGAGAAUUGGGAGAGGCUCAAAUCAGCAUCCUGCACCUAGUUAUCAAACCAUUGUGAAGUCUUGAUUCCUGGAUGGCCAGAAAACUUGUCAUUGGUCAAGAGCAACAUUAAGAUCUGCCUGUUACUCAUACUGAUGCUUCCUGCCCAGCAAGUUCAUCAGAGGGCGAGGAUGAAUUACGGUUGCCAUGAAUGUCCUUGUGAGGCAGUUGGGAAGCCUUGGCUGGAUUGUGAAGGAUAUUUGAAAAGUAUUUUAGAGUCCACCAGAUCAUCCAUGUGAGUGACCAUGCAGCAAAAGAAGGAGGGUCCUCUCAGUGAUUAAGGAUUAUGAAGUAUUAAUUCUUCCACUGAUAUCUCAAAAGGUGAUCUGGACAAAGGAACAGGUAUCUCAGGAUUCCUCCUUGGUCACUUUUCAGCAGCAGCCUGCUCUUCUUUUGCAAUCUCUUCAGGAUCUCUGUAGAAGUAGAGAUCAGGCAUGAACUCCCACGGGUGUUCACGGGAAAUGGUGCCACGCAUGCGCAGAACUUCCCGAGCCAGCAU